rnacentral:lncRNA from 1 species
AAAUAAUACAACAAUAAUACAUAAAUACACGCAAACAAAAAAAAAAAUGCAUAAACAGAUUACAGCGUAUUAUUUCAAAACAUCUCAUUUCAAUUAUACAUAUACAUAUAUACAUAUAUUUUUUUUUAUGGUAAUUUUAGCGAAUUAAGCAAUGUAAAUCAAUCAGAAGAAUUAAUCAGACUUCAAAAAGAAAAUGAAAAAUUAAGAAAUAAAAUAGAAUCUGAUACAAAUAAAGAAUCAAAGAGAGUGAAAGAAGUUAGUUUAAUAACUUUAUUAUGCAUUCAAGUUGUAUACAAAUUCACACAUAUGUAUAUAUGUAUGGUACACCUAAGUUAGUGAGAAAAUUUAUUUUACAUAUUUUUUUUACGUAACCGUAUUUUUACCCUGUUUUAUUUUAGCUUGAAAAAGAACUCAAGGAUUUGAAAGAAAUAAAUAACAAUUUAAAGAAUGAAGUAUUAAAAGACACAAAUAAUAACAACGCUCAAACUAAUCCACAACAGGAGAAAUAUGAAGCACAAAAUGUAAAAAUAUCACACUCUUUUUGUAAAGAAUAUUUUUUUUUGUUUAUUUUAUAUAUAUUUUUUUAAAUAGAUACGUUUAUUUUAUAUAUUUUUUUUAGAUAGAUACGUUUAUCUUAUAUUUAUUUUUUUAUAUACUUAUCAAUUUAUUUACUAACUUUUUUCUAAUGUUAUUUGUGUUUUGGCUGCAGGAAAAAAUCAUCAAAUUAGAAGCUGAGCUAUUAAUUGAAAAAAAAAAAUAGUACAAUUAUUGAAGAAACGACUAAAAAUAAAUUAACAAAGGAAUUUAAUGCUGCAUUGCAAAUUUUUAAAGAACAAUUACAAAUUAGGGAAAAGGAAACUGAAUAUUACAAAGAAACAAUGAAAACACAGAUAGAUACUUUUAAAGACGAACAAAAAUUAUUAAGCGAUAUUAUUCACAACUUAGGCCUAAAAUAUAAACAAUUACAAACUUAUAAUCUUUGUUUAAAGAAUGAAAUUACAGGAAUUAAAUUAAGGUAUUAUUUCACAUUUUAUUAUUAUAUUUUAUUUUUUUUUACUUGUUAAACACAUAAAAUGCUUCGUACAUAUAAACAUUUUCUCUAUGACAUAUUAUUUUAUUUUGUUUUUUUUUUAAUAUAUAUAGAACCAAAGCUUGUACAAAUUCCGACAACAAAUAAAAUCCCAGUUUUAUACA